UACGUAGGGUGCGAGCGUUGUCCGGAAUUAUUGGGCGUAAAGGGUGCGUAGGCGGGUCUUUAAGUCAGGGGUGAAAUCCUGGAGCUCAACUCCAGAACUGCCUUUGAUACUGAAGAUCUUGAGUUCGGGAGAGGUGAGUGGAACUGCGAGUGUAGAGGUGAAAUUCGUAGAUAUUCGCAAGAACACCAGUGGCGAAGGCGGCUCACUGGCCCGAUACUGACGCUGAGGCACGAAAGCGUGGGGAGCAAACAGG
rnacentral:rRNA from 1 species